GGACAGGAAGGGGGAGGUUAAAGAAAGGUGGAAAUGAAAAGAAACUUAGGGACACUUUCUUUAUCUCUUAUUUCACAGUCAGUGAAAAUAGAAAGGCGACUGCAAGUUGUCGAAGAGUAAGGCUGGAGGACGGCCCAGAAAUGCUACAAGGAGAAGAGCAGCAGUUACCACCAGUGCAGCCGGUCAGCCUCAGCUGAAGCGGCGAGGCACAUGGAUGUGAGCACCAGUUUCUCUGCACAGAAUGGAGCACUCACCUCUUCUGCAUCUUCUCUACCUCAUGCACUGCAGCGGCCUGUGUGCAGAAUAAAGGGAAAACCUUAUUAUUUCUGAGAAAACCAUAAAACUAUUAUCUGUCCAUUCAAAAACUGUAUUUCCAUACAUUUGAGUUAA